rnacentral:rRNA from 1 species
GACGAACGCUGGCGGCGUGCCUAAUACAUGCAAGUCGAACGCAGUGGGGACGGGUGAGUAAAACGUGGGUAAACUCACAUCAAAGGGGAUAACAACUGGAAACAGGUGCUAAACCGGAACUGAUGGAGGGACCCGCGGUGCAUUAGCCGGUUGGUGGGGUAACGGAUCACCAAGGCUACGAUGCAUAGCCGACCUGAGAGGGUGAUCGGCCACACUGGGACUGAGACACGGCCCAGACUCCUACGGGAGGCAGCAGUAGGGAAUCUUCGGCAAUGGACGCAAGUCUGACCGAGCAACGCCGCGUGAGUGAAGAAGGUUUUCGGAUCGUAAAACUCUGUUGUUAGAGAAGCGGUAUCUAACCAGAAAGCCACGGCUAACUACGUGCCAGCAGCCGCGGUAAUUC